GUGAGGAAUAUUGGUCAAUGGGCGAGAGCCUGAACCAGCCAUGCCGCGUGCAGGAAGAAUGCCCUAUGGGUUGUAAACUGCUUUUAUUUGGGAAUAAACCUUUCUACGUGUAGAAAGCUGAAGGUACUAAAUGAAUAAGCACCGGCUAACUCCGUGCCAGCAGCCGCGGUAAUACGGAGGGUGCAAGCGUUACCCGGAAUCAUUGGGUUUAAAGGGUCCGCAGGCGGAUUAAUAAGUCAGUGGUGAAAUCUCAUAGCUUAACUAUGAAACUGCCAUUGAUACUGUUAGUCUUGAAUAUGGUCGAUGUGGGCGGAAUAUGACAUGUAGCGGUGAAAUGCUUAGAUAUGUUAUAGAACACCGAUAGCGAAGGCAGCUCACAAGGCCAUUAUUGACGCUCAUGGACGAAAGCGUGGGGAGCAAACAGGAUUAGAUACCCCUGUAGUCC
rnacentral:rRNA from 1 species